UACGAAGGGGGGCUAGCGUUGCUCGGAAUUACUGGGCGUAAAGGGCGCGUAGGCGGAUGUUUAAGUCAGAGGUGAAAGCCCAGGGCUCAACCUUGGAACUGCCUUUGAUACUGGGCAUCUUGAGUAUGGGAGAGGUGAGUGGAACUCCGAGUGUAGAGGUGAAAUUCGUAGAUAUUCGGAAGAACACCAGUGGCGAAGGCGACUCACUGGCCCAUUACUGACGCUGAGGCGCGAAAGCGUGGGGAGCAAACAGG
rnacentral:rRNA from 1 species